rnacentral:pre_miRNA from 1 species
CAUGUACUCCCUCCGUUCGGAAUUACUUGUCUCGAAAAUGGAUGUAUCUAGAACUAAAAUACAUCUAAAUACAUUCAUUUUCGCGACAAGUAAUUCCGAACGGAGGGAGUAUAAU